GGGAGGUCCCGGCUGAGAGCGCCGGCUGCCGGCUGGGGACAUUAUUGCAAUGUGGGCCUUAAGAUUUGAACCAAAGAAAGAAGAAAUUUAAAAAAUGGUAGCUGAAGUUGAUAAAGAAGGAAUUGGCACCAUUAGUUUUGAAGAUUUUUUUUGCCAUUAUGAGUAUAAAAUGAUAUAGUUGUGAUUUUAUUUUUCAAAGAAAUACUAGCAAUAACCUGCUAUAUUUUAGGGCUGGAGCAAUCAGAAGUUUUAUAGAGAAGUAAUUAGAACGAGGUUUUUAAGGAUGGGAGAUAGGAAGAGCAAGAUUAAAUAUGUUUUCAGGGUAGUAAUGAGAAGACUAUGAUAUGGAGAAGACGUUUUUGUCAGGAAAUAAUGAGGCUAUAUUGCAGGAUAGAGAGAAUGGGGCCAGAAUUUGGAAGCCUUUAAUUCAGGCAACAUAUAUUGAAUGCCUAUUUUUGCCAGGCACUAUUCUAAGGAGCAUUGAAAGAGACAACCUUCCUGUUUGAAGCUUACGUUUUUGGUAAUGGAUCUGAAUUACGAGGUUUAAUAACAGAUGCAUUUUGGACUACCCUGUGCCUCCUCCACCUCAGCAAGCUCUACAUUUAAGCACCUUGAGGGCAGAUGAAAUGCUUGAUGAAGCUGAUCAUGAUGGAGAUGGAGAAAUAAAUGAGGAAGAUUUUUUGAGAGUGAUGAAAAAGAUUACUCUUUAUUAAUAGCAUUGUUUUGGUCCUUGUGGAAAAUUAACAAAUUUGUAUUUAUACAGUUUUAUAAUUUAAUAUCUGAAUGUAUUCAUUUUCAGUUUUUAGUUUAUAUGUACACAUUGGCUUCUUGAUGUCUAAUCCAUGUAAGAAGUUACACAUUUCUACCAAUAUGAUGUUAAAUCUACAACAUCAAGAAACAAAACAUAAUGACUUCUUUGAACCAUUAAUCCAAGAACAGUAUUCUAGCUAUUUUGAGAACCCUAGGUCACAAAGACUUAGAAUUUUUAAGUUUGAUGAAGUUGGCUUCACAUCCAAAUGAAUUUGGCAAACAAACCUUAUAUUUUCCUUUUGUGCAACCCAAAAAAACCUGAUGAACAUUUGCUUUUUAGUCAGUUACUCAAAUACAUAAAGUAUUAAAUAGAACUGUCUGAAAACAUUAUUUGCUAAUUUUCUUCUUUUAGUUAUAAAGAAAAUUCAAAAUAGCACUUACAUCACCCAUAUUUCCCUGUAAGUUUGACCCUAUAGUGAGCACUUAAUACCUCUGUGCUAGGACAGGUGGUGUAGAGUUUUAUUUUUUUUUUAAUUUUAUUUAUAUAUGUUUUGAGACAAAGUCUCCCUCUGU